ACGCUGGCGGCAUGCUUUACACAUGCAAGUCGGACGGCAGCACAGAGAAGCUUACUUCUUGGGUGGCGAGUGGCGAACGGGUGAGUAAUAUAUCGGAACGUACCGAGUAAUGGGGGAUAACUAAUCGAAAGAUUAGCUAAUACCGCAUAUUCUCUGAGGAGGAAAGCAGGGGACCUUCGGGCCUUGCGUUAUUCGAGCGGCCGAUAUCUGAUUAGCUAGUUGGUGGGGUAAAGGCCUACCAAGGCGACGAUCAGUAGCGGGUCUGAGAGGAUGAUCCGCCUCACUGGGACUGAGACACGGCCCAGACUCCUACAGGAGGCAGCAGUGGGGAAUUUUGGACAAUGGGCGCAAGCCUGAUCCAGCCAUGCCGCGUGUCUGAAGAAGGCCUUCGGGUUGUAAAGGACUUUUGUCAGGGAAGAAAAGGCUGUUGCUAAUACCGACAGCUGAUGACGGUACCUGAAGAAUAAGCACCGGCUAACUACGUGCCAGCAGCCGCGGUAAUACGUAGGGUGCGAGCGUUAAUCGGAAUUACUGGGCGUAAAGCGAGCGCAGACGGUUACUUAAGCAGGAUGUGAAAUCCCCGGGCUCAACCUGGGAACUGCGUUCUGAACUGGGUGACUAGAGUGUGUCAGAGGGAGGUAGAAUUCCACGUGUAGCAGUGAAAUGCGUAGAGAUGUGGAGGAAUACCGAUGGCGAAGGCAGCCUCCUGGGAUAACACUGACGUUCAUGCUCGAAAGCGUGGGUAGCAAACAGGAUUAGAUACCCUGGUAGUCCACGCCCUAAACGAUGUCAAUUAGCUGUUGGGCAACUUGAUUGCUUAGUAGCGUAGCUAACGCGUGAAAUUGACCGCCUGGGGAGUACGGUCGCAAGAUUAAAACUCAAAGGAAUUGACGGGGACCCGCACAAGCGG
rnacentral:rRNA from 1 species